GACGGAGGAUGCAAGCGUUAUCCGGAAUGAUUGGGCGUAAAGCGUCCGCAGGUGGCUAUGUAAGUCUGCUGUUAAAGAGUGAGGCUCAACCUCAUAAGAGCAGUGGAAACUACAUAGCUAGAGUGCGUUCGGGGCAGAGGGAAUUCCUGGUGUAGCGGUGAAAUGCGUAGAUAUCAGGAAGAACACCGGUGGCGAAAGCGCUCUGCUAGGCCGCAACUGACACUGAGGGACGAAAGCUAGGGGAGCGAAUGGG
rnacentral:rRNA from 1 species